GGGGUAAUUGAAGUUUUGUUAAUUUCAGGGGGUAAUUGACGAAAUUUACAAUUUCAGGGAGGUAAUUGCCUAUUUACUCGUUAUCUUUCUUUACUUUGUCAUGAUGCUCAAGAUUGGUAUUUACGAGAAAGUCCUUAGGUACUACUAUUCUAUUAUUAUACCUAUCUUUGAUGCCCCAAAUGCAUCUUAUCAUCAGUUUGUAGGUCGGAUAAUGUUGAGGUGAUCAACCAAAAGAAUGCGGUGUGUAUAAAUGAUGUAGUAUCAAAAGUAAGUAUUUUUUGUUAUCGUCUCCAUAGGGACUGGUGCGAUAUUCUAAGCCGUUCAACAAUCAGUAUCGUUUUGAGCUAAGGAUUCAAUAUUGUUUUGUUUCAUGAACUAUAAAACUACGAACUUGUAAGAGAUAUGAGAGUUAACAGGGAAAUGAUUAUGUUGGGAUUCAACUUCAUCAACCUACAUAUACAUAUUCUAGGAUUAGUUUUGCAGAUUCUAAUUAUCAAUUGAUAUUAUCACAUAUUGCUCAACAACAUCAUUCGUGUCCAAAUGAUGUCGUGAUUUCUAUUGAGUCGUCUAAUCGUCGAUUUCCCAAACUAUUAAACUUUCCAAUAGUCGAUUGUAUUGUUGUAUAGUUGAUUUCCCAAACUAUACAAUGAUACGAAAGCUUUAAGUUCCAAUAUUCAAAGUGAUUAUCAAACCUAAGUUCCAUGUAUAGAACCUAAGCAUUGAUAGAAGAUUAUUCUCAACUAGAUUCAAAAAAUAUUUUUCAAUAACAAUUCAAAUCCAUAGGAUAGAAAUGAAAAGCAAGAAUAACAUCAAUAUCUUAAGAUAAUUUAGAAUCACACAACAUUCAAAUCAAAGGGAAUACAUAUUAAUAGAGUUAACUACAUUUAAUCCCAACAAAAAGAGUUUAACUACUCAUUGUCAUGGUAACCUUACAAGGAGAAAAGAAGAGAUGGAAUAGAAGCAAGCCAUGAUGUCUCAAUGAUCUUGUGAAUCCCUUCAAUCUUUGUGCCUGUUGCUCCUUAAUUGUCUCUUUAUGUUUCCCCUGUUUUAUCUCUUCCUAAAGUGGCUUAUGUUCUGAUUAUUUUCCCUGAAAUGAGGGAAAUGAGCUUUUAUACAUAUGUUGAAAAAGUGACAUUUCGCCUGGCGAAGUUUGGCUCGCCAUGGCGACUUAAGCUUUCUUUGCCAGUGGGUUUCUGCCACGUCAUUUUGAUAAGAUGAAACCUGCUUUCUUCGCCUGGCAGAAUUUCUGCUCGCCAUGGCGAAGUGCUCUUGUCAUGUUUUUCCAACUCUCUGGAACUGCUCGCCAUUUGGCUCGCCUGACGAAAUAUUUCGCCUAGCAAGAUUUCUGCUCGCCAUGGCGAAGUAGCUUUUUCCCACUUUUGUUCUUUUUGGUCCUUGCUUGAUGUUUUGGCACUCAAUUCCUACACAAAUGGGUAGAGUAACAUGAAUAAAGCGUAAUAGGUCAAUAAUCACUUUUCUCUCGGCUUUUCUCUGAAUAACUUGAGAAACAAGUAACAAACGUGCCGUAAAUAAUUAUUUUAAAUACUACUUUCUGCUCUUAUCAAUAAACCAUUGGUGUAUAGGAGAAGAUCAUUCUAGCUAUUAUUUUUUGUCCAAAAAAUUGAGUGAAAAUGUCCAACAAGAAGAGAAGAUGUUAUAUAUUAAUAUUAAGUUUGGAGACUAUUUCUAAUAUAAUAGUGCCCAAAACAAAAUAAAUCCCUCUAUUUUUAGAAUGACUGAUAACUCCCUAUACCAAUAAUUUUGUAGUGAAUAUGGACAUUUUUUUUAUUUAGCAGUGUCAUCUACCUAAUUUUUCUAUUAUUAGAAUGACUAAUAAUCACCUUAUACUAACUAAUCAUUUAUGUCUUUUAGUCGAUAAUCCGUUAAUUAGAGUAACCUUACAUAAAUUUAUGGUUUUCUAUCUUUAAAAAAAUUAUUGUUUUCUAGUCGAGAAUCUAGUAGCUGUCCAAGGACUAAUUGAUCCAUAAUUGACAUUUUGUUAGAGCCACCACAUGAUCCGUAUUUUGUUAUUUAAUAUUUGAUUUUAAAACUUUAUUUAGUGUGUGUUUAGAUCAAUCAAAUGUGACAACACUUUGAAGUUUAUGAAAGAGUGAUAUACAACUCAAUUUGAGUAGGGAUUACACUCCAAAUUUAAAAAAUAAGUUAGAAAGCAAACCGGAUUAUUUUUUAUAAAAAAAAACCGGUUUCCUAAAUUUUUAUGUUAUAAAUUUUUGGACAAUAUCAACUACAGCAAACCUCUGACAUCCUUUUUGCAACGUUACGUCAAAUAAAAUAUGAUAUAAUUAUCUACAAAAAAUAGAACCUAAAGUGCACCAGUUAGGCAAUUAGUAGUAAUAAUAACUUUAAUGGAAUGUCUUUGUCGAUGAAAUUGUAAGAAUGGCUUGGCGAUCUAAUUGUAUGAAAUGACAAUGCAUGGUGCAAAAGUUAACUCUCUUGUGCAUGUUAGAAAAAUAUCAAUGUUAGAUACAUGUCAUAAUGAAAAAUAUCUAAAUAUCGUUGAUGGUUGGCUCUACACAACUUUUUUUAAGUAUUUUUUUUUUUUUUUCGUUUCAAAUAACAUAGUAAUUAAAAAUUACUUUUUGAGGUGAAUAAACGAGAUGUCUGAAGUUUAAAUUCUAAAUAUAAAAUAAAAAGAUACGAAAAUAUUUUAUACCAACAAUGUUUUCAUAUUUUUAUAUCGAUAAACAAACAAUACUCGUUUAGGAUUCGAACUUUAAUAUCAAUGUUUGUUUGUUUAUUGAUACGUAAUAUGAAAAUAUUGUUAGUUUGAAAUAUUUCCGUAUCUUGUUGAAAAUUUGAUACUAGAACAUUAUAACUUUCCUUUCGCAAGUGCAUUUUCUUUACCUAAUUUGGAAACCUACAAGAGUAUUGUUUUCCUUCCCAAGUGCGUCAAUUUUUUGACAUAUAUAGAGCUGACUAUUGAAUUGAAGCUACGUUGUUAGAAAAACAAAUUACUCCUUCCUCAUAUUGUUGUAUUUUAUUUGAUAUAUUUUUUUUACAACUUUGUUUGAUCUGAUCUCAUCGUUUGAAUACAUUUGAUGGUUAGAGACCAAUCCUUUGAUGCACUUCUUAAGGUGUGACUUCUUCUAGACUCAAACCUCUUACCAUAUACAUAAAAUACCAAAUUAUAUGUUCAACUAUUUUGAAAUGUAGAAUUCAAUUUUUUUUCUUUUUAUAGAGAUUGAAUCAUAUAACUGAAUUACUCGAUUCAAUCGUACAGUCCGACUAAUAACCAAUUGUUUAACAAAUGAUCCGAUACUUUUGAGUUGACAACUAAAUCAGUUUUUAAAACACUUGUUGAACUUUCAUAUAUAUAGAAUAAAAACGAAAAAGAAAAAAAUUAAUCAAACUAACUAACAAACCUAAACAAAGAAAGAAACUCAACGUGUAUCUAAUCUAGAAAGACCAGCAGGGUCGGAAAAUGCAGAGGUAUGAAAAACUCGACGACAUCCCUCAAAUGCUUUCUCCAAACUAUCUUUGCAAUUAUUAUUUCCAAAUUAUUUCUCAUCUCUCCAUGUCUUUCCAUUUCCUCUGCAUUAAAAAUUAUAAUAAACUAUAUCAUUCAUAUAUGAUAUUAGUUUCAUAAUGAGCGACUCAAUUUGAUUAUGCAUUAUUCACAUUACAUACUUUGACCAUAUUUUUUAAUAAUAUAUAAAGACAUAAAAACAUAUAAGAUGUUGAUAAAUCUGUCUCGUUGAAUAUUUUUAAAAUAUCAAAUUUUUAUAAUAAACAAUUAAAAACAUUAAAAGUGAGAUAUGUGAAAUAAUCAAAUAGAUUACUCAUUAUAGAAUAAAGGGAGUAUCUACCUCCAGACUCACAUUAAUGUUUCACCUAUCUCUUGACUUAAAAAAAAAGUUGCAUUCUAUUGCGAUCCCGUAGAAAAACAAGCUUUCCAAAUUAAGACAAGCAAUUUUCGCCAAACUCAAACAAGUAGGAUACAUAGCAAUGUGGUUUUUUUUUUUUUGUUUUGAGGAUAUAGCAAUGUGGACUUGAAAUGUGCUAAAAUUAAACUUAUGAAAACCCUUUUUCAUUGAAAAUUGUUGUUUACAUUUUGCAUAAAAUUAAAAAACAUCAUGAAAUGACAAAUUUAAUCCCAAUUUUUAUUGGCAGUUAGAACCCGUCGAUAGUUAACUGCCGAUGAACUUAUUCUAGUAUUUUCGUGAUGUUUUCUAGAAUCCUUUGAUGUGGGAACAUCAUUUUUCUUUUUCAUUAUAAUGCCAUUUGAUUUAACCAUGUAACCUAUAAUGUGGACAUUAUUUUCUCAUUUGUGGUCAAUCACAAACUACUUAAGCAUCAAACAAGCAUAAACAUAUAAUGUCAUUUGAUUAUGUGGACAGUAUUUUCUCAUUUGUGGUCCAUCACGAACUAGAUGAUUUUCUUUACCUAAUGGAAGUCUACGAGAGUAUUCUUUUCCUUCCCAAGUUGGUAGACUUUUGACAUAUAAUAUAUAGUUGACAAUCGAAAUGAAGUCACUUAUUGAGAACAAAAACAAUCUCCUCCCACACAUUGUUGAUUUUUAUGGCUUGCAAUGACCUCCAUGCUAUGUCCAACUAUGUGAAUGUACUUAUAUCGGCUUUUGUUAAGGACUGUUUCACUAUGUUGAAAUGUAUUUACUUCAAUUCAGAUUGUUGGAUGGUUUCUUUAAAAACAUAUGCAACACUUUUUACUUGAUUUGGCUCUCUUGUGUUUGGAUUGUUUGGCGUGACAGAAAUGCUAGAAUUUUUAAACAUCAAGAGGACUUUAUUCAUCACCUUUUAGACAAAAUUAAGUUGCAAUCUUAUUGGUGGAUGAAGGCAACUCAUCCUAAUUUUGCUUUUAAUUAUUACAUGUGGUGGCUUAAUCCCCUCUUGUGUUUGGGGAGUUGUUCUUUAGUUUCAAUUGUGUUACGGUAUAUUUCUGCUGCUUGUUCACGCAACGUUUCCCCCUGUUCUUCCUUUGUUUUUCGUUGUAUCAACUGUUAAAUUUUCCUUAGUUCUCUUCGGACACUUCUUGUGCCAGGGAGACUAAGUUUAUUGGUUAUUAUAUUCCAUUUUAACUUCUUAAAAAAAAAAAAGAUCAAACCGAGGAGCUUCAAAUCAGUUUUAACUAAAGUUUGUUAAUUGUUUGAGUUCAACCACUUGGUUAAACUAUUUACUACGCACACAUUAAGUUAAUUUUUUAUAACAAAAUUGAAUAAAGAUAUAAAGAAAAUUGGAUGAUAAAUAAAUACAAGCCUUACUAAACAAACUACAUAUUACCCAUGUGAGACACCACAUCAUAGACCCCUAAAAAGCAUAUCAACUCCUAAGAGAAAGAAAUGCCAAAUCUUAGGACAUAAGGCAUGCCAUGAUUUUCAUCUAAUUCUCACUAGAGCACCUAAUUGGCCUAGACAUGAGUCUGCAUAACUUGUUAUUCGAUAGUUCAUAUCUUUGCAAAGAAAUGUUUGAUGCAUCUCCACAUAUCUUUUCUUUAGGCAUUCCAAUAUCCUUUGCUAGCUUCUCUGCUUCACUUUGAGCAUCAAUUACAUUAUCAAAGCAAAUGUAUCUACCAUAAGCAUUUUCAUUCAUUUCCUUGAACACACAUGCAUGAGCUUCAGCCACUUUCUUUACAUCAACUGUUGCUAGCAAACCAUUAGAAUACAUUUUUUGUGCUCCUGCAUUUGAAUUUUUAAUUGUUAGGUUCUUCUACUAGUAAAGAUCCAAUGCAAACUUUCAUCUAGAUUUUACAACUAUACACUAAUUUUUUUUGAAGAAGCUAAAUUAACCCACCUAACUUGGCACCAGAGAGAAUCGAACUUAAAACCUUGAGGAUGAGCAUACUCCCAAGUCCCAGGCCAAUACCACUAGGUCAACCCAAGUGGGUUACGGUACACUAAUUUACUAAUAGUUUGUAUCAUUUUUUUUUUACUAAUAAUGUAAAUGUUUCACACAUAUAUUCAAUAUUAUAUUUAAUAAUCCUAAUAAACAAAUUUUAAGAAGUAAUUUAUUUUAAGUUGUAACAAGAUGAUAAAGUAUGAUGUAAACAAAACAUUUUUGGUACAAGAAAUUGGACAAUGACUUUGGUUACAUAAUACCUUUGAGGUAAGCAAUUGUUGCUGUUGGGUUCCUAUGACAAAAUUCAGGACCUGUGAUAAGUGCUGGACAAAUGGUAGUGAGUUUUAAACCUCUUUCAUUGGCUAUUCUCCAAGCAGCCUUCUCUGCCCUCAUCUUGCCUAAUGCAUACCAUAGCUGCCAUAAAAUUAAAAGCAAUAUUUUAAAAAUCGGAUCCAUUAUCGAAUUGAUGAGACCUUCAAAUCAUGCUUUAAUUGGUUCAAUCGGUUUAAUUAUGGUUGAAUCAGAUGACAAAUAAGGUAUAAAGGAAUCAAACCAAUAUAUGAAUUGGUCGAUUUCCAACUCAACCAGUUGAACUGAUCGGUUCAGUCUAGUUUUAAAGAAGAAAUGUUCUAAAGAAGAAAAGAAAAUAAAUAGAUGAGGUGCUAAUGUCGAGGAAAUUUACCUUUUUGUCUAUGCAAAGUGAUUCACUGCUCCAAGAGCCAUGGUUAAUAAUUGGAGUAGUAAGGUCUGAAUUCACAUUGUCUUGCCAAAUACAAGCAGCUAGUGAUGAUGUGAACACACAUCUUUUAAUUGAAGGUGUUCUUGCACAUGCUUCCAUCACAUUCUCAGUUACAUUGACUUCAAUCUCAGCCAUUGAUUUCUAUAUAUUAUACACAAAUAAUUGCUUAUUAGAUAUAUAUACUUAUACAUAGUAACACUUUCUUGUACCCAAAAAAUAACAUAGUAACACUUUCUAUUGUAGAUAUUCUCACAAUAAUUACACCAAGUUAAAGUUAACAUGCUAGCUGUAAAGGUAUGAUAUGUCAAAAGUUUAAAGUUGCAAGGAAUCAAUUAUUUUCAAGAGAAGAUUUUUAAACCUUAUUAUAUUUGAAGUACUACACAAUAUAUAACAAAUAAUUAAACUCUUAUUAAAUUUGGGUUGGUUUCUAGUCAUUUAACAUUGUCACUUUUAAGAUAGUGUUAGAGUUGUUCUAAAUCUAUUGAACUACAUCUAGUGGCCAAAGUCUACAAGACUAUAACCACUUUCUUACUACAUCAAAUUCUUGUCUCCCAAUACAAAAAGUGCCAUUCAUGUUAUGUGGUAGGGUAAAAUAAUUAUUACAAAAAGAAAUUUUUCCUCAAAGGGUCAGGUUGGUAGGGUGUACACAUUGCCAAAAGGCCGUUGGACCAUCUUUAUAGGUGGUCCGCUAUCCUAUGGACUAACACUUCAAAAAUAUGAAAUCUUUUAUGAUAAUUGGCGUUAAUAUUUGAAAAUAGAAGUUUGCAGUCUUCCUUAUUGUAAGAUUUAAGAUUACAGGUAUCGAUUUGGCGAAACAAAUAAACAUCUUUAAAAUCUCAACUCAUUUAUUUUACAUUUUUUUUUGUCAAAUCGACUUUGAUUAAAUUACCUCUUGAUCAUAAAAAUUAAAGGAGUUGUGAACUUCUACUUCUAAGAGCCGCGCGUCAGUCGACAUUAGUGUUUUUUAGUAAUUUACAAAUAUUGAUCCACUUUAGACCAUAUAACUCAAUUUUAUAGAAACGAGUCACAUGGUUGAAUCAUUCGACUCAAUCACGCGGUUUAACCAAUAGACUAAUAGUUUGACUAAUGACCCAGUACCCUUGUCUAAAUCAGCCAAAUAAAUCGAUUUUUAAAACACUAACAUAACUUGCAUACAAAAGAAAAAAGAAAGUAAAUAAUUAACCAAACAAGCACAUAGAAAGAAACUCACAGUGUAUCCAGAGAGACCAGCAGGGUCGGUAAAUGCAGAGGUAUGAAAAAUGCCACGACAUCCUUCAAAAGCUUUCACCAAACUAUCAACAUCAUUUAGCUUUGCAAUUAUUAUUUCCAAAUUAUUUCUCAUCUCUUCAUGUCUUAUUUCCCUCAAUUUCUCUCUGUCUCCUACAUUAAUUAAUUACAACCAACUGUAUCAUAUAUCAGAUCAAUUCGAAUGCGUACACGUAAACAACAAAACAUUGAAAGCAACAUUUAGGCUAAAAAAUAGAGCUGCAUUGAUGCUUUUAAAUUAUAGUAGUUUGUUUGGUUUUUCCAAAUACAAUGUUUACCCUAAACGAAUAAUACAAUAAAUUUUAAUGUAGACCUAGCUAGCUUUCUACUCAAUUUCCUAUUUUGGUAUUUUUCUAGUGGAGUACCACUAUCUCAAACUCGAAUAUAGCAUAAACGUCUUGAAUUAUGAUUAUUAACAUUUAGUGUUACAAAUGAUGGGUAUCCUACAUAUGAUUGAGUGUCUGUAAAAAUUAACUCAUAAUGUCUCAAUUUGUUAAUUUAAUUUUAUAAUUUAAAUUUUUUUGCAUAAAUUAUUGUUUAUAUUUUUCUCAAUAUUUUGUUAUUUCAAUAUAAUGGUCAUCUACAAUCUUUUUUUUGGUAGGAAGCCACAAUAAUUCGAGUAUUCACCACCCCCAAAGUAUCUUCAUAAGUUUUAGACUUUUAAACCGAUUAUGAGACUUAUCUCAACUCAUAUUUUUAAAUUGAUUAAUUUAAAGUUCUUCGUGCUCUUUUCAAAAUUAUGUUAUGUGGAGAUCGAACAUUGAUUCUCUGUCACAAACUCAACACUAAGUGAUUAGUCAUGUACAUUGGGGGCAUCUAAGGUUUAUUCAAGUGGAGUAAACAUAUAUGAAAAAAGAUAAAUAAGUAAAAUAGACAUUAAGAUUUUUGAGAGGAAAAUACACAUCAAGUUAGAGUAAAUAGUCAAUUUUUCCCCUGAAAUUGUAAGUUUCAUCAAUUACCCCCCUGAAAUUUCACAACGUUAAUCAAUUUACCCCCUCCGUCAAAUUUUUCUGUUAGUGAACAUGACGUUUUGCAAAUACCCCCCCUGAAGUUUUGCACUUAUGUGCAAAAUGCCCCCCAAAUUUAAAAAUUUAUAUUAUUUUUUUCUUAAAAACAAACAAUUAAUAGUUAAAUAUUAAAGCUAACUAUUAAUUUUUGAGUUUGGAAAAACUACAUACAUAUAUACAUCAAAAUAGGGAAAAAUGUGUAUUUUUAAAGUGACAAUAAUGGUUAUUUCUAAUAGACAAAUUAUUAUUUUAGAGGUUUAUAAACAAAUUAAUAAUCAGAUUUAAAUUUAAAUUUUCUCCUUCACCAUCUUAGUCUUUUAACUCUUCCAACUCCUUCAACAAUUUCUUCAAACCAUUUAAACUACACAACCCCCAAUAUUAAUCCACAAAUCAUCCCAUUAUUGUCACUUUAAAAAAUGCAUAUUUUUCCCCAUUUUGGAGCCUAUUUUGAUGUAUAUAUGCAUAUAGUUUUCCAAAAUUCCAAAAUUAAUAGUUAGUUUUAAUAUUUAACUAUUCAUUGUUUGUUUUUAAGAAAAAAUAAUAUAAAUUUUUAAGUUUGGGGGCAUUUUGCACAUAAGUGCAAAACUUCAGGGGAAUAUUUGCAAAACGUCAUGUUCACUAACAGAAAAAUUUUGACGGAGGGGGUAAAUUGACUAACGUUGUGAAAUUUCAGGGGGGUAAUUGAAGUUUUGUUAAUUUCAAGAGGAUAAUUGAUGAAACUUACAAUUUCAAGGAAAAAAUUGACUAUUUACUCCUUCAAGUUAGUUAUAGAGAUUUUAUAUGAAAAAGAAAUAAAAUAAAAUAAAAAUCGAUAUAGGUGGGGUCAUAUCGACAUGUGAGUUUCUCUUUUUUUGGAGUCAACAUGUGACUAUUUUUUUUAUUUUUUUUUUGUGAAUCACGUGAGCUUUCGUUUCAUGCUGUGUUAAUAAAUAUUUACUACACUUUCCCUAAAAAAGAAAAAAAAAUUACUAUACUAUAUAGUCUACAAAACAUUACACACCCAAGAUUUAAAAAUAAAAUAAAAUGAAAACAUUACGCAAAAAGUUUCUCUUGAAAAAUUAUCUUAAUUCACCGAUCAUAGUUUCUCGUAGCAACACUCUUUGGGUGUUUGUGAACAAAUAAUAAAUAAACUACAAGUAAAAAGAUAGUGCAUGAUUAAAAUAAACCAUAUGAUCACACACGUAGAAACUAUAUGGAUAUAUAUAUAAUAUAAGUCGGCUAUUUUUAAGUAUACAUAUCUCUCAAGAAAGAUCCGUCAAAAAAUAUCUCUCAAAGAAGAGACUAAUUCUUAUUCAAAAUUGGAGACUUGAAUAAUCAAUAUGCAUGGUCGUAUUCGUAUAUCAUCAUAAAUAAAAAAAUAAUAAAAAUGUGACAUGCAUUCUUCAUAUUAUAAUUUGGAAUUUGAAAUUUAUACAUAUGUACGUACAAUAAAGACCAAAAAAGUUGAGAAAAAUGGCCCUACGUGUACCCUACACCACACUCACAUAGUCACAUAUGUCACAUGCUGUGCCGUAUAAUGUUUAGUUUAUUUUUUUGACAGACCAAAAUAUUAAGUUGACCUUAAAUAAAAAUUAAAUUUUAUUUACUAAACAGAUUUCAUAAAAUUAUUAUUUUAUUUGAUAAACUUCAUAAAUCACAUUGAAGACAAUGACAAAAAGAAGAAGAAAAAAGUUCAACCAAACAAAAAGAAGAAAAAUUUAUAUAAUACAAAAACAAACAUUGCAUAAAAGAAUAAUGUUUUGUAUAAAAUUUAUAUAAUAAUGUUUUGUAUAAAUUUAUAUAAACUCACAAUGAAUGAGUUUAUAUAAAAGUUAUCAAUGUUUUGUAUACUUUUUAAAUUUUAGUUAUU
rnacentral:lncRNA from 1 species